CCCUGUGUGACAUAGCGGUUUGAGUGUUGGACUGUGACUCUGGAGACCAGGGUCCAAAUCCUUGCUCAGCCA